AUAUAUAUAUAUAUAUAUAUAUAUAUGUAUGUAUGUAUAAUGUUGUUGAGUCGAGGCUUUUUGCAUCCUGCUCUGAAUAACACACAAAAGUCAACAGCCAAGUACAUUAAUUAAUUUUACUCAAUAACAUGUAGUAUACACACACACUUACGUAUAUACACUUAUAUGCUUAAAUACAUUUAUAUAUAUACAUAUACACAAAUGUAUACAUAUACACACACACUCACAGACAUAACACUCACACACACACACACAUGCUAUAUAUUUGUAUACAUACACAUGAACAUACAUACACUCUCUUAGUAAGUAACAUGGUGAUUAAAAACCCGUUACACUGAUCAAAACAUUCACCAAAGUCUUAUAAAAUGUAGUAUAUAGUACUCCCAAUUACUCACCAAUUAACCAACCAGCAACACAUUUAGCUUCAUCUAUUAAUUAGUUUUGAUGUAAUCAAUUGUUGAGUUAAUUAAUUUCUGUGAGAUAAACAGACUAUCAAAUGUUAGUUCGUACCAUUGUUGGUAAACUAGACUGUAGUGAAAAAUUACAAAGAUUUAACAGCAAGUACAGUAAAAGCUAUGCUUUGCUGAUGAGGUCAGAAUAAGACCGAAACACGUCUGGAGUUGUCUCCCAUACUUUCUGGUAAUAAUAGAAAUAGUAUUAGUCAUGGACUAAUAUUAUUAUUUUUCUCAACGUAUAAUUAUUUCUAGUUAGCUUUUUAAAGCUCUUGCAUUAAAUUUGUUGAUGCAAAUUUAAUAAUUAAAAUUUCUUUCCCAUGCUGUAGCAUUUCUGAAGAAUUAAUAUCUUUGACUUCAUGUUUGAUAAAUUCAAUCAAACAAGUCUUCUGGAAGAUUCUGCAAACAGGUCCAUCUUCAGCAGUAAUCAUGGCAAUAUGAUAGUUUCUGCUCCUGUUACACUUGUUUCUGCUUCCAUGGUUAUUUUAAAGUGAUCAGUGUGUUUGCUUGUGGCCGUGUGUGUGCACGUACAUGUUCAUGUGUGUGUGUGUGUGUGUGUGUGUGUGUGUGUGUAUCAUUUGGAAUAUAUACAAGUGGAGCAUAUUACAUUCUCAAAGGUUUGCAUCGGAAGAAUAUUCUUGUUAUAAAAGGAUUUUAAAAAUCCUAUGAGGCAUAAUAAAAUAUGCUUAGAGUAAUGGCAUUUGUCUGCAAGAAAAAUGAUAUAUCAUAAAAUCUGAUUAAUGUAUAUAUAUGUGUGUAAGGUAGCGAACUGGUAGAAUUGUUAGCACACUGGACAAAAUACUUAGUGGCAUUUUGUUCAUCUUUAUGUUCUGAGUUCAAAUUCUGCUAAGGCUGACUUUGCCUUUCAUCCUUUCAAGGUCGAUAAAAUAAGUACCAGUUGAACACUGGGGGAGGGGGUAGGUAAUUGGCUUAUUCCCUUUCUCAAAAUCGCAGGCCUUAUGCCAAAGUUUGAAAUCAAUAUAUAUGUGUGGGUGUGGGUGUGCGCAUGUGUAUGUGUGUGUGUGUGUGUGUGUAUGUUGUAUUAUGGCCAUCACUUGGAAUCAAGGCUGCCUUUGUAGCUUGUACCAUGCUUUUACCAAAUGUUUUAGAUGCCCAUGUAAUUUACAUGCAGAUAUAGAUAGCAUCUUACACUCUCAAUUCCCCCACCCUUGACUCAGGAUGAAAGGGACACAGACACACACAUAUAUGUAUGUAUACACAUACAUUCAUACAUAUACUCAAAAAUGCACACACACACACACACACACAGAUAAUUAAAAUUAAUUAAUCAAAGAAGGAGUGUUGAUGUUCAUGAUCUUUGAAGGCAUUCCCAAGCUGGCAAGAUCAAUGCAAAUGUUGUUUAUAUAUAAACGUGUGUGUCACAUGUUUGUAUGUGCGUGUGUGUGUGCUGUGUGUGUGUGUGUGUAUGUGUGUGUGUGUGUGUGUAUAGACACACAGGCAUACAUAUCUAUAUUUGCAUAUAUGUUUCAAGUGACAAACUGUUGAUGUGAUUUCCUUAAAACAAUUCCUGCUAACGAUACUUAUGAAACAUCAUUCUAACACAUGGUGAACAAUGAUAUCCUUUGUCAGAUCAACAAAGGACUUUCUUUAGAUGGAAAUUUCAUUAAAAGAAUGGAUUAAAUGAACACAUACCUGUGUUUGUGUUUGCAUGUGUGUUUGUGUGCUUGUAUACAUAUAUACAUAU